rnacentral:rRNA from 1 species
UACAUGGGGUGCAAACGUUGCUCGGAAUUAUUGGGCGUAAAGCGCGCGUAGGCGGUUACUUAAGUCGGAUGUGAAAGCCCUCGGCUUAACUGAGGAAGUGCACCCGAAACUGAGUAGCUAGAGUACGAAAGAGGGUCGCGGAAUUCCCGGUGUAGAGGUGAAAUUCGUAGAUAUCGGGAGGAACACCGGUGGCGAAGGCGGCGACCUGGGUCGAGACUGACGCUGAGGCGCGAAAGCUAGGGGAGCGAACGGG